rnacentral:tRNA from 1 species
AGCCAGGUGGUGGAAACGGUAGACACGCCAGGUCGAGAGCCUGGUGCCCACCGGGCAUGAGGGUUCAAGUCCCUCCCUGGCUA